UACGUAGGGUACGAGCGUUGCCCGGAUUCAUUGGGCGUAAAGCGCGCGUAGGCGGUUACGCAAGUCGGUUGUGAAAAUCCGGGGCUCAACCCCGGACCUGCAUCCGAUACUGCGUGACUAGAGGUAGGUAGGGGAGAUCGGAAUUCCUGGUGUAGCGGUGAAAUGCGCAGAUAUCAGGAGGAACACCGGUGGCGAAGGCGGAUCUCUGGGCCUUACCUGACGCUCAGGCGCGAAAGCUAGGGGAGCGAACAGG
rnacentral:rRNA from 1 species